GACGAACGCUGGCGGCGUGCUUAACACAUGCAAGUCGAACGGAAAGGCCCUGCUUUUGUUGGGUGCUCGAUUGGCGAAGGGGUGAGUAAAACGUGAGUAACCUGCCCUUGACUGUGGGAUAACUUCAGGAAACUGGGGCUAAUAUCGGAGAGGAGCUCCUGCUGCAUGGUGGUGGUUGGAAAGUUUCGGCGGUUGGGGAUGGACUCGCGGGUUAUCAGCUUGUUGGUGGGGUAGUGGCUUACCAAGGCUUUGACGGGUAGCCGGCCUGAGAGGGUGACCGGCCACAUUGGGCCUGAGAUACGGACCAGACUCCUACGGGAGGCAGCAGUGGGGAAUAUUGCACAAUGGGCGGGAGCCUGAUGCAGCAACGCCGCGUGCGGGAUGACGGCCUUCGGGUUGUAAACCGCUUUCGCCUGUGACGAAGCGUUAGUGACGGUAAUGGGUAAAGAAGCACCGGCUAACUACGUG
rnacentral:rRNA from 1 species